AUAUUGGACAAUGGGGGCAACCCUGAUCCAGCCAUCCCGCGUGUACGAUGAAGGCCUUCGGGUUGUAUAGCACUUUUGGCAGGGCAAAAAAGUCUCUGGCUAAUACCUGGAGCUGCUGACGGUACCUGCAGAAUAAGCACAGGCUAACUCCGUGCCAGCAGCCGGGGUAACACGUAGGGUGCAAGCGUUAAUCGGAAUUACUGGGCGUAAAACGUGCGCAGGCGGUUCGGCAAGAAGGAUGUGAAAUCCCAGGGCUUAACCUUGGAACUGCAUUCUUAACUGCCGGGCUAGAGUAUGUCAGAGGGGGGUAGAAUUCCGCGUGUAGCAGUGAAAUGCGUAGAGAUGCGGAGGAAUACCGAUGGCGAAGGCAGCCCCCUGGGAUAAUACUGACGCUCAUGCACGAAAGCGUGGGGAGCAAAC
rnacentral:rRNA from 1 species